AACGGAUAAAAGCUACCCUGGGGAUAACAGGCUUAUCGCCCCCAAGAGUCCACAUCGACGGGGAGGUUUGGCACCUCGAUGUCGGCUCAUCACAUCCUGGGGCUGUAGUAGGUCCCAAGGGUUGGGCUGUUCGCCCAUUAAAGUGGUACGCGGGCUGGGUUCAGAACGUCGUGAGACAGUUCGGUCCCUAUCCGUCGCAGGCGUAGGAAAUUUGAGAAGACCUGUCCUUAGUACGAGAGGACCGGGAUGGACGUACCUCUGGUGUACCAGUUGUCCUGCCAAGGGCAUGGCUGGGUAGCUAUGUACGGAAUGGAUAAGCGCUGAAAGCAUCUAAGCGCGAAG
rnacentral:rRNA from 1 species